AUUUUGCGGUCGUCGUCAACAUGCUUGCUUUGCUGCUGCCUCCAAUUCUUAUUUCACCAAACUGAGAGAAACCUUUUUUUUGUACUGUAAAACCCUAAAAUUCGAUUAUUGUGGAGAGAAAUGAGCUCAGAGGUGUUGCUCAAUUACGACCCUCCCGAGCUGAGUUUCCAAUUUGAUCAGAACAGACAGCUAUCAUCUUCUGUCCGAUUGUUGAAUAAAACCGACGAUUAUGUUGCUUUCAAGCUCAAGUCCACUAAUCCGAGAUAUUAUGUGGUUCGACCAAGAAUUGGAAUUCUGUUGCCUCAAUCAACUUGUGAAAUCAAAGUGCGCGCCCUGAGGGAAUCUCAGCACAGUCUGAGGUCCAAGGACAAGUUCAUGAUUGAAAGUGUAGCUGCAGCUCCUGAUACAACCGUGGAAGAUGCUCGGAAACUGUUUGAUAAGGAGUCCGGACAUCCUAUUCAAGAGUUCAUACUACGAGUCAAUUACAGUAGGCCAACAGAAUCUUCACCUGACACAUCUGUCAUUGAAAAUACAGAUGUAUCUGCUCCUGAGGUUAAUAGAUCUCUUACGGAACCUCAUGAGAACGGUUUACAGGUCACUAGCUCUGUCACUGACUCUCAUGACUAUAAUUUACGGGUCAUCAACAAUGUUAAUGAACUUCGUCCCAAUGGCGCACAGGAAAAUGAUAUCACUCGUAGUGGUGACUCAAUUCUCGGGCGCUUUAUCAGCAAUUGUACUGGUGAAUCAAUUCUAAAGGAGGUCAUUGGUAGCUUGCUGAUAUUAGUAUUCUUAUACCUCAUGAAACAGACGAUAUCAUGGAUCUGGAGUCUGGUAAUGUUUGUGGCCAUGGUGAUAAUAAAGAUGAUAAAGAAAUUGGUGUCUGAUUCUGUUGAAGACUGGAUAGUGAAAACACUUAUACAUAUCGUUAUGUAUAUUCUAUUUGGGCGCAAGGAAAACACUGGCCUUACGUAGCACUCUGCCUUCUUGUGUCAAUGAUAGUGAUAAACAGGGUUAUGAAAGGAAGUAUGUGUUCUAUGUGAAGCUAUGCCUGCAUGUAAAUUAGAAGCAUUUGGAGUUUUGUACAUGUUCUCUUUUAGAUGGCGUAUAUUAUUACAAUGGAAUGGACUACAGAUAGUGAUUGUAAGCAUUUGCCACGAAAUGAGAGACACCCGCACUGAAAGGUGUUUGUGCAGUUUUUUGUUCAUUCAAGCUCUUCUCCUGAUGUUGCGUGUUGUUGAGCAGUGCAGAUCAAAUUGUUCGUUACUUAGUUUACAAUGAUGUUUGUAAUAUAUUAAGAUCGAGAAACAACACCAUUCGUUGCAAAAUAGCUUCAUAUUUGAGUUUGUGUGGUUUGUUCAUUCAAAUGCUUAUUUGAAGAUCAACACCUGGAGUUACAUUUUUUUCUC